UUCAUCGUGCUCACCAAAGUACGCAAGUGUACGCACGAAGGCUUGCACAUGUACCGGUUAGGCACGGACGCACACUGCUCUUGGGCACCUGGGGCCCCCCGUUGUCCUCACCUCCGAGCCGUAGUUGAAGCGGAACAAUCUGGGCUCAACCCGAUUGUAAAUCUGCGGGGCAAGCGUGGUGAGGCAGGUCAAGAUACCAUGAUCAGUUAGAGGAGUGAGGGAGACGGAUUGUCAAGGAAUUACACCACCGGUUGGUUUGCAGGUACCUUCGCACUCCCCAGCGGCAUAUACGAAUGCUGUCCAUAUUCCGCGCGCUGGCAAUUCUGAAUGGGCUUUGUCACGAGAUGCUGCAAUGAGAAAUGGGUCGCUAGUUUGUUUCUGAGCAGCGUGAGCGGCGGGGUUACGUUUGACCUCAAUUAGUGACUUCCUUGGCAGGCAGGCAGGCAGGCAGGCAACCGCGUGGGACUACUCAGCCGCCUGGUCGAGCUCUGAGCAUAGAUGACGCGGCACGCACCUCAACCCACUGGUAGGUGUUGUAAAGGCUGGUGGACGAAGGCCAGCCGUGCCAGUACCUCCUGCAGGCAAAGCUCGCACCGCAUGUGCGCGCAGGGCAAGGGCGGGUGCGAACAAUGUGCGAUCACAACGGGUGUUCCCCUUACCUCGCGGACAUGAUAAUUCCUGAUGCGGGUGAUGGGGAACCAAGCUUAAGUACUUACUUAAGUGUGCCAUCAGCCAGGACAUUGCGCAGCGGGUUGCUGUGCAAUUUGGAUUAGCCGUAUGUAUGGUGAGCUGGUGCGUGUGUUCAUUACGGUACCUACGAAUUACCGUGGAUGUUGCACCGGAUGCUGUUAAAGCCAUGAAGGCCUCAACAUUGGCCGCUGCAGGUGGGUGAUAAUGAAUCGCUAUCAGAGGUCGAUUGUGUGGGUGGUCACGUACCCUUCAAUGAGGCCCCCUCUUCUCCCAAACCCAUGCUUUGCUAAUGUCCGGGUUGUUUAUGGAUGUCACAAGAAUCGUACUUCAAACGAGCAACGGAGUCCGGGAGAGCCGUGCGUACUUAUAAUCGGCGUUGGUGAUGAAGCGGGACGGCCCGAAGAGGUGAGCACUCAAAGCCUGCAUGGAGGGAUAGGAUAGACACGCAUAAGGUCAUUUUCGGCCCUUGCGCAUCCUAACGCCUAAGCAUAUACCGCCUGUGAACAACAUGCAAGAGCAAGAGCACCACGUGCAGCUUUCCUGUACGUUUCAGUUAGGCUUACCGCGCAAAUCGACGUAUGUAUUGGCAGUUGGCAAAUGCCGUUGGGGAUGAGUUGCUGCAGCAGGAAACUCAUGAAGAGGAAUUCCUGGGGCGGCAGCAGGUUGGCUUUUACGCUAGCCUGCAACAGGAUCGCGUGGAAAGGGCACAUAGAAUAGGUAGAAUAUCAAGCACGUCAUUCUCAUGCAGGGUCCAGGGGUGAGGGUAGGCAGUUAUGAGAGAGGUGCGUUGUAGGGACCUACUAGUGCCGACUAGUACGGUACGGACUACUUGUGUAGUCAACCGUGUACGGUUUUUACGGGUUCUCACGGUCGCCCCCACGAUGCAAGUGCACGAUGCAUUAUACGUGCCAUGUAUCACUGGGCUCACACUCUUCACCAGCCCCACGCAAGUAGCCAACCAUCGGCAUCGUGCUAUCGUGUGUGCGUGUACAGUCUCCCUGAAUAAAGCUUAUGCAUUUAACUUCAGGAAUCAGCAGUGCAUGUUGCGCUUUACGACAGCAGUUCCGUACCCAGGAAGUUCCAUACCCAGCUGUGAUGGUCAUACAUAGUUUGAAGACGGUGAAAGAGAAGCAAGCAACACGCAAAACGGGGCCAUUCCCAGCCGUCCGAGUGUAGGAAACGGCCCUCUCAGCCCUCCGACGCCUGUCCGCGACUCGCCCUGCCACUCUGCCUCCCGCACCAAGUCCCGCCACUUACAUUUACUAUGAGAGAAUAAGCGAUUGGGAUUCCCACUUUCAUGUUGGUGAUGAACACACUUGGCCCCAGCGAAAUUACCACUCCCACGCUGUCCGUUAGGUUGGUCUGGGAGCUCAGCGUCAUCAGGGGGAUGGUGCAGCCCUGGCUAUGGCCCACGAUUCCCACCUGCAAAUGAAGCAACCGCAGACAUCCGGGGUUGCGAUUGUGUCGAUACCCAGCAUGCUCGCAACAGCGAGCCCCGGUGCGUACCAGGGACCAUUUGAUCCCUGUGGGUUAACUGAAUCAGUUCCUCGUUACUCUUAACUCCUCGUGCCUGGCGAGGGGUUCCCUGACCAUCCCCCAUGCAAAGGAAUGUCUCCUCUGCUGUACCUCCCCUCAGCUCGGUACCUAGAGAAUUGGGUUAAGCGGUAUGGGGCGAGGUCUUUUCUGGGGGUCUAUCGCAACAAGAUUUCUGGGUAUUUUACGUGCAGUACACAGCUCCCUACGUUUAUUGUAAGGUCAGGGAAGAUGCCCGGUCGCGAGGAAGGGAAACAAGUCUUCAAGGGGCUCAGAGACUUUGAUGAACCUCGUCGGUUUUCAAAGUCCUGCGUUCGGCAUACACAGCGAUUGUGCCUGUUGGGUAUGGUGCGAUGUAUGGGGUUGGCCUGCUCUUUUUAGUGCUGUGUCCUUCGUAGUAGGUCGCUUAGCAAGCUUUCAGUCAGAUCUUACUCCGCCAUGUCACGCUGCACCAGCAACGUUCGGUUCCUGGCGUACGUUUCCCAGCGGCCAUAACUCCCCCUUCACCCCCAUCGUCAUAUUGUUUUUGGAGGCACUCUUCUUCGGCCUGCAGGUACCCGGCAAGCGGCGUCCCCAUGCCUUUGCUGGAAACCUGCGCAACCGCUAUAUAGCUGCCUACCGCCAACGGCUGCAUUUACCUUGGGCAUGCCCGUCACAUUCUUCAUGUAGUGGAUGAUAACGGGCAGGUCAAUCUCAGCCAUCUCGUCCUGCAACAUGUAUUUUUCGUUAGCGCAGGGAAUCAGGGCAUUGCACUUGGUGUUCACCGUACAUGCCCCUAUGGAACACAUCACUUUGUACGGGUACAUACUCUCCGGAUGGGAGUACGAGGAUGUGGGUCAAACUUUAACAUGCGCCAAGUCAACAUUCAAGUCAAAAGAAGUCGCACACUAGAGAACCCAUUACCCAACAUAAGCCACUCACAAGUGCGAAGUUCCAGAACUCGGUCUGCUUGUCACUGUAACGGACGUGUUCCCGUGAAAAGAUAUUUCCCCGGGUAUUCGCCAACCAGACGUCGUAGCCUGAACCGCAUAUUUAGUACGACAGUACGUCAGUGCCGAUUGUCCAGCAUGGCAAGUACUUAUGGAUGCGGGCGGCAGCCCUCAUUGGCCCAGCACGCAGUCCCGUGCAUGCAUUUGUGGCUGCUGGGACGCAUGAGACACGCUUCCGCAUGCAGGCAUGUUCAACUUCUUGAGCAAUAGCAGCCGGUCAGCAGCACAAUUCAUUGCAAUACAACCUCAAGACAUACCCCGGUGUGUGCAGCACGCCGCCGAGAAUUCCAGGCGGCCUAUGUUUCACUAACCUACCGUACCUACAAAUCUAUAAAUAAUCCCAGACGGCCUAUGUUUCACUAACCUACCGUACCUACAAAUCUAUAAAUAAUCCUAAUAACUUUGCCACAGGCCGCGGUCCACUGGCUGCAGCCUUGCGUGUGCUAAGGGGGAGGGUAACUGAGGGCCGUUUCGGCCCCGACAUACCCCUUAACAUGACCAAGCCCUAUCCUACCUAUCCUACCGAAGUCUAUCUAUCUCGUGCCCAGAAACGCUGCCCGUUUGCCGGGGGCCGGGUGGAACGAGUCCCCUGACUGGCGUGCGAGCCCAGCGCAACACACUUAACACUUGGCAAUUAACCCCAGUGCAACCCCAUGUGCAGUGCGCUCAUGCUCCGCUCCCAAAGCCUCGCGUGCACAUCUAUCCCGUGGACAGUAAACCCAAAAGAUCUGUACCCCGGUCUGCCAGGAAGAAGGCGAGGCUCUCGUCCGGACCGUUGACAACCCAGCUGGUGCUGGCGAGCGAGAUACCGUGGAUGAGCAGGACGGGCGGGCGCUUGGCAGUGCC
rnacentral:lncRNA from 1 species